rnacentral:rRNA from 1 species
UAAUACAGAGACUGCAAGCGUUAUUCGGAUUCACUGGGCGUAAAGGGUGCGCAGGCGGCCAGAUGUGUCAGGUGUGAAAGCUCGAGGCUCAACCUCGAAACGGCGCCUGAAACUAUCUGGCUAGAGUAUCGGAGAGGGAAGCGGAAUUCAUGGUGUAGCAGUGAAAUGCGUAGAUAUCAUGAGGAACACCAAAGGCGAAGGCAGCUUCCUGGACGAUUACUGACGCUCAGGCACGAAAGCGUGGGUAGCGAAAGGGAUUAGAUACCCCUGUAGUCCACGCCCUAAACGGUGCAUACUAGGUGUUGGCGGAUUCGAUCCCGUCAGCGCUCAAGCUAGCGCGUUAAGUAUGCCGCCUGAGGACUACGGCCGCAAGGCUA